rnacentral:rRNA from 1 species
GAUGAACGCUAGCGGGAGGCCUAACACAUGCAAGCCGAGCGGUAUUUGUUCUUCGGAACAGAGAGAGCGGCGCACGGGUGCGGAACACGUGUGCAACCUGCCUUUAUCUGGGGGAUAGCCUUUCGAAAGGAAGAUUAAUACCCCAUAAUAUAUUGAGUGGCAUCACUUGAUAUUGAAAACUCCGGUGGAUAGAGAUGGGCACGCGCAAGAUUAGAUAGUUGGUGAGGUAACGGCUCACCAAGUCAAUGAUCUUUAGGGGGCCUGAGAGGGUGAUCCCCCACACUGGUACUGAGACACGGACCAGACUCCUACGGGAGGCAGCAGUGGGGAAUAUUGGACAAUGGGUUAGCGCCUGAUCCAGCCAUCCCGCGUGAAGGACGACGGCCCUAUGGGUUGUAAACUUCUUUUGUAUAGGGAUAAACCUACUCUCGUGAGAGUAGCUGAAGGUACUAUACGAAUAAGCACCGGCUAACUCCGUG